rnacentral:piRNA from 1 species
UGGAGGAUGAUAGGGAACAUGUUGGU